GGCUAAAUACUCCUGACUGACCGAUAGUGAACCAGUACCGUGAGGGAAAGGCGAAAAGAACCCCGGCGAGGGGAGUGAAAAAGAACCUGAAACCGUGUACGUACAAGCAGUGGGAGCACAGGUUUACCUGUGUGACUGCGUACCUUUUGUAUAAUGGGUCAGCGACUUAUAUUCUGUAGCAAGGUUAACCGUAUAGGGGAGCCGUAGGGAAACCGAGUCUUAACCGGGCGUUAAGUUGCAGGGUAUAGACCCGAAACCCGGUGAUCUAGCCAUGGGCAGGUUGAAGGUUGGGUAACACUAACUGGAGGACCGAACCGACUAAUGUUGAAAAAUUAGCGGAUGACCUGUGGCUGGGGGUGAAAGGCCAAUCAAACCGGGAGAUAGCUGGUUCUCCCCGAAAGCUAUUUAGGUAGCGCCUCGUGAAUUCAUCUCCGGGGGUAGAGCACUGUUUCGGCUAGGGGGCCAUCCCGGCUUACCAACCCGAUGCAAACUGCGAAUACCGGAGAAUGUUAUCACGGGAGACACACGGCGGGUGCUAACGUCCGUCGUGAAGAGGGAAACAACCCAGACCGCCAGCUAAGGUCCCAAAGUCAUGGUUAAGUGGGAAACGAUGUGGGAAGGCCCAGACAGCCAGGAUGUUGGCUUAGAAGCAGCCAUCAUUUAAAGAAAGCGUAAUAGCUCACUGGUCGAGUCGGCCUGCGCGGAAGAUGUAACGGGGCUAAACCAUGCACCGAAGCUGCGGCAGCGAACGUAUCACCCAAGACAACUUUACGGAGUUGACGAUUGACGGAGCGAAGCGACGUCAAAGCGUUCAUUAAAGUCGAGUUGGCUUAGGGAUACGUUCGUUGGGUAGGGGAGCGUUCUGUAAGCCUGUGAAGGUGUGUCGUGAGGCAUGCUGGAGGUAUCAGAAGUGCGAAUGCUGACAUAAGUAACGAUAAAGCGGGUGAAAAGCCCGCUCGCCGGAAGACCAAGGGUUCCUGUCCAACGUUAAUCGGGGCAGGGUGAGUCGACCCCUAAGGCGAGGCCGAAAGGCGUAGUCGAUGGGAAACGGGUUAAUAUUCCCGUACUUGGUGUUACUGCGAAGGGGGGACGGAGAAGGCUAUGUUGGCCGGGCGACGGUUGUCCCGGUUUAAGCGUGUAGGUGUGUGUUCCAGGUAAAUCCGGUUCACUUUAACACUGAGGCGUGACGACGAGGCACUACGGUGCUGAAGCAACAAAUGCCCUGCUUCCAGGAAAAGCCUCUAAGCAUCAGGUAACAC
rnacentral:rRNA from 1 species